AGAGUUUGAUCCUGGCUCAGGACGAACGCUGGCGGCGUGCUUAACACAUGCAAGUCGAACGGAAAGGCCCUGCUUUUGUGGGGUGCUCGAGUGGCGAACGGGUGAGUAACACGUGAGUAACCUGCCCUUGACUUUGGGAUAACUUCAGGAAACUGGGGCUAAUACCGGAUAGGAGCUCCUGCUGCAUGGUGGGGGUUGGAAAGUUUCGGCGGUUGGGGAUGGACUCGCGGCUUAUCAGCUUGUUGGUGGGGUAGUGGCUUACCAAGGCUUUGACGGGUAGCCGGCCUGAGAGGGUGACCGGCCACAUUGGGACUGAGAUACGGCCCAGACUCCUACGGGAGGCAGCAGUGGGGAAUAUUGCACAAUGGGCGGAAGCCUGAUGCAGCAACGCCGCGUGCGGGAUGACGGCCUUCGGGUUGUAAACCGCUUUCGCCUGUGACGAAGCGUGAGUGACGGUAAUGGGUAAAGAAGCACCGGCUAACUACGUGCCAGCAGCCGCGGUGAUACGUAGGGUGCGAGCGUUGUCCGGAUUUAUUGGGCGUAAAGGGCUCGUAGGUGGUUGAUCGCGUCGGAAGUGUAAUCUUGGGGCUUAACCCUGAGCGUGCUUUCGAUACGGGUUGACUUGAGGAAGGUAGGGGAGAAUGGAAUUCCUGGUGGAGCGGUGGAAUGCGCAGAUAUCAGGAGGAACACCAGUGGCGGCGAAAGCGUGGGGAGCGAACAGGCUUAGAUACCCUGGUAGUCCACGCGGUAAACGGUGGGUACUAGGUGUGGGGUCCAUUCCACGGGUUCCGUGCCGUAGCUAACGCUUUAAGUACCCCGCCUGGGGAGUACGGCCGCAAGGCUAAAACUCAAAGGAAUUGACGGGGCCCCGCACAAGCGGCGGAGCAUGCGGAUUAAUUCGAUGCAACGCGUAGAACCUUACCUGGGUUUGACAUGGAUCGGGAGUGCUCAGAGAUGGGUGUGCCUCUUUUGGGGUCGGUUCACAGGUGGUGCAUGGCUGUCGUCAGCUCGUGUCGUGAGAUGUUGGGUUAAGUCCCGCAACGAGCGCAACCCUUGUUCACUGUUGCCAGCACGUUAUGGUGGGGACUCAGUGGAGACCGCCGGGGUCAACUCGGAGGAAGGUGGGGAUGACGUCAAGUCAUCAUGCCCCUUAUGUCCAGGGCUUCACGCAUGCUACAAUGGCUGGUACAGAGAGUGGCGAGCCUGUGAGGGUGAGCGAAUCUCGGAAAGCCGGUCUCAGUUCGGAUUGGGGUCUGCAACUCGACCUCAUGAAGUCGGAGUCGCUAGUAAUCGCAGAUCAGCAACGCUGCGGUGAAUACGUUCCCGGGGCUUGUACACACCGCCCGUCAAGUCAUGAAAGUUGGUAACACCCGAAGCCGGUGGCCUAACCGUUGUGGGGGAGCCGUCGAAGGUGGGACUGGUGAUUAGGACUAAGUCGUAACAAGGUAACCAAGGGCGAAUUCCACAGUG
rnacentral:rRNA from 1 species